rnacentral:rRNA from 1 species
GACGAACGCUGGCGGCGUGCUUAACACAUGCAAGUCGAACGGAAAGGCCUUUGCGGAGGGACUUGAGUGGAGAACGGGUGAGUAAGACGUGGGUGAGCUGCCCGGCACUCUGGGAUAAGCCUGGGAAAGUGGGUGGAAUACCGGAUGGGAACGCACUUUUGUGGGUGUGGGGGAGAGGUUAUGCGGUGGAGGAUGGGCCCGCGGCUUAUCAGCUUGUUGGUGGGGUAGUGGCCUACCAAGGCGGAGACGGGUAGCCGGCCUGAGAGGUUGACCGACCACAUUGGGACUGAGAUACGGCCCAGACUCCUACGGGAGGCAGCAGUGGGGAAUAUUGCACAAUGGGCGCAAGCCUGAUGCAGCGACGCCGCGUGCGGGAUGACGGCCUUCGGGUUGUAAACCGCUUUCGCCAGUGACGAAGCGUUUUGGGCCGGUACCUGGAGAAGAGGCCCGGCCAACUUCCUG